rnacentral:rRNA from 1 species
CGGCGUGCCUAACACAUGCAAGUCGAGCGGCGCGAAGCGAAACACGGAGUGUUUCGCGCUUCGCGAGGUAUGAGGUAUGAAGUAUGAGGUAUGAGGUAAGGUCAAAGGCAAGAACAAAAACAAAAGACGGUUAAAACAAAAGACGGUUAAAUCAAAAGACGGUUAAAUCAAAAGACGGUUAAAUCAAAAGACGGUUAAAUCAAAAGACGGUUAAAUCAAAAGACGGUUAAAUCAAAAGACGGUUAAAUCAAAAGACGGUUAAAUCAAAAGACGGUUAAAUCAAAAGACGGUUAAAUCAAAAGACGGUUAAAUCAAAAGACGCUUUAUUUGAUGCUGUUGGUUUUAACGGUUUGGUUUAACGUCCUUGAUUUUAACGAUUUUAACGAUUUUAACGGUUUUAACGGUUUUACCGAUUUUAACGGUUUGGUUUGACGUCCUUGGUUUUAACGAUUUUAACGGUUUUAACGAUUUUAACGGUUUUAACGAUUUUGACUUUACUUCAUACCCCAUACCCCAUACCCAAUACCUCGCGAAGCGAAACACCGCGUGUUUCGCUUCGCGUAGCGGCGGACGGGUGAGGAACACGUAGAUAACCUGCCUUAAGGUGAGGGAUAACGGGGAGAAAUUCUCGCUAAUACCACAUAAGCCCACGUGUCGGCAUCGGUACGAGGGAAAAGAUAUAUUGCCUUGAGAGGGGUCUGCGGCCGAUUAGGUAGUUGGCGGGGUAAAGGCCCACCAAGCCCGCGAUCGGUAGCCGUUCUGAGAGGAAGAUCGGCCACAUUGGGACUGAGACACGGCCCAAACUCCUACGGGAGGCAGCAGUGGGGAAUAUUGCGCAAUGGGCGAAAGCCUGACGCAGCAACGCCGCGUGAGGGAAGACGGUUUUCGGAUUGUAAACCUCUAUCGACGGGGACGAAAAAAAUGACGGUACCCGAAUAAGAAGCGCCGGCUAACUACGUGCCAGCAGCCGCGGUAAUACGUAGGGCGCAAGCGUUAUCCGGAAUUACUGGGCGUAAAGGGUGCGUAGGCGGUUUGGUAAGUCACACGUGAAAGCCCCGGGCUUAACCCGGGAACGGCGUGAGAAACUGUCAGACUUGAGUACAGGAGAGGCAAGCGGAAUUCCCUGUGUAGCGGUGAAAUGCGUAGAUAUAGGGAGGAACACCAGUGGCGAAGGCGGCUUGCUGGACUGAAACUGACGCUGAGGCACGAAAGCGUGGGGAGCAAACAGGAUUAGAUACCCUGGUAGUCCACGCUGUAAACGAUGAGCGCUAGGUGUCGGGGCGAGAGCCUCGGUGCCGGAGCUAACGCAAUAAGCGCUCCGCCUGGGGAGUACGUACGCAAGUAUGAAACUCAAAGGAAUUGACGGGGGCCCGCACAAGCGGUGGAGCAUGUGGUUUAAUUCGAAGCAACGCGAAGAACCUUACCAAGGCUUGACAUGGAAGUGACCGGUUAAGAGAUUAGCCUUCCCUUCGGGGCACUUCACACAGGUGGUGCAUGGUUGUCGUCAGCUCGUGUCGUGAGAUGUUGGGUUAAGUCCCGCAACGAGCGCAACCCUUAUUUUCGGUAGCCAGCGGAUUAUGCCGGGCACUCCGGAGAGACUGCCGCGGACAACGCGGAGGAAGGUGGGGAUGACGUCAAAUCAUCAUGCCCUUUAUGCCUUGGGCAACACACGUGCUACAAUGGCCGACACAAAGCGAAGCGAGCCCGCGAGGGGGAGCAAAGCGCAAAAAGGCGGCCUCAGUUCGGAUUGGAGUCUGCAACUCGACUCUAUGAAGCUGGAAUCGCUAGUAAUCGCGAAUCAGAAUGUCGCGGUGAAUACGUUCCCGGGC